CACUAGGGAACGCAGGCGGCUUAAGUUCGCGCCGUCCUGGCGCAACGCCUGCAUGACCCACAUCCUGUAGG
rnacentral:sRNA from 1 species